GGAUGAGAUCAAACCAUUCUGCUGUGAAACAGACCGCCAUGUAAGGGACAUGAGAGGAGGUUCUUCCUUAGGUUUGACCUAGCCUGGUGGUUGGCGUCUAAUGAAACAGUUGAUCCAUCUGGUGGAUCUUUUAGCUCAAGCAAUUUGGUUCCAUGAGGAAGGUUCAACUCCAUCUUGUGAGUCUGUCUUUAUCUGUUGUUUCUUAUUCAAAGGAAAUAAUUUUCCAUUUGUCUAUUUUAGUUCUUUUUAUAGCAAACAAACAAGAUGCAUGUGUUUUCACGGCUGGCUGGGAUUAGUUUUAGGUCCAUGUUAUCUUUGAGGCUGCGGUAGUAGCAAACAGUAGAACUUUGUUGGAUAUGGGAUUGGCUUCAUGUCUAUGCAUGCUGAAUCGAGCUUCGUAUUUGAUCUUCUAAAAAU
rnacentral:misc_RNA from 1 species